CCAGCAGCUGCGGUAAUUCCAGCUCCAAUAGCGUAUAUUAAAGUUGUUGCAGUUAAAAAGUCGUAGGUGGAUUUCUGGUUUGAUGCCCUGGCCCGCUGCAAAUUUUUUAGUGUGUGCCGGUUGUGCGUCUGCCCUCCUUCUAGAAAACGUUCCUACCCUUCACUGGGCCGGGUUCGAGAUCUAGAUCUUUUACUUUGAAAAAAUUAGAGUGUUUAAAGUAGGCAGUUGCUAUGAAUACAUUAGCAUGGAAUAAUAAUCUAGGACUUCGGUUCUAUUUUGUUGGUUUCUAGUACUGAAGUAAUGAUUGAUAGGGAUAGUUGGGGGUGCUAGUAUUGAGCGGCCAGAGGUGAAAUUCUUGGAUUCGCUCAAGACUAACUUAUGCGAAAGCAUUCACCAAGGAUGUCUUCU
rnacentral:rRNA from 1 species